rnacentral:ncRNA from 2 species
AUACGUCUUCGGGGCGGGGUGAAAUUCCCCACCGGCGGUAUGGCCAUCAUGGCCGAGCCCGCGAGCGCCUGCCAUGCAGGGUCAGCAGACCUGGUGAGAAGCCAGGGCCGACGGUAUAGUCCGGAUGAAAGAAGAUGUGC